GUAUUACUUCCUCCGUCCAACAAAAGAUGUCUCAACUUUGAUUAAAUUUGAAUGUAUCUAUACACUAAGUCAUGUCUAGAUACAUUCAAAAUUUGACAAACUUGAGACAUUCUUUGUUGGACGGAGGGAGUAUCAU
rnacentral:pre_miRNA from 1 species